rnacentral:rRNA from 1 species
UGGGGGAUAUUGCACAAUGGGCGAAAGCCUGAUGCAGCGACGCCGCGUGGGGGAUGAAGGCCUUCGGGUUGUAAACUUCUUUUGCUCUGAACAAGGCAUGCUAAUGGGUGUGUUGAGUGUAGGGGUUGAUUAGCGCCGGCUAACUACGUGCCAGCAGCCGCGGUAAUACGUAGGGCGCGAGCGUUGUCCGGAAUUAUUGGGCGUAAAGGGCUUGUAGGUGGCUGGUUGCGUCUGUCGUGAAAGCUCAUGGCUUAACUGUGGGUUUGCGGUGGGUACGGGCUGGCUUGAGUGCGGUAGGGGAGGCUGGAAUUCCUGGUGUAGCGGUGGAAUGCGCAGAUAUCAGGAGGAAUACCGGUGGCGAAGGGGGGUCUCUGGGCUGUUACUGACACUGAGGAGCGAAAGCAUGGGAGCGAACAGG